UGGAAAGCCAAAGGGGACCCCCGCUAAAAUACAUAUACUUAUAUAGUAAAUAUCGGGAUUGUCAUUUUUCGCGGAACUUUCACUUUCCGCGAAAAACCAAUGCCAGCAUGGCCAUAAAACACUACAUACAAAUCGAAAUCUAAAAAGCGCGGAACUUUCAUAGAUUUUCCGUCGGAGCAAUUAUUUUUCAACCCUGUAGAAAAAGCGGGCUCAAUUAAUCGCGCGGAACGUUAUUUAUCUACUCUGUACAAAUAGUAGUGUUUAAAAUCGCGCGGAGAUUGUAGAAUGCUAUUUUAAGAAGUCUAUUAAAGAGAGAAAAUCCAGUAAAUACCAGAUCCAAAAAGCGCGGAACACAAAUAUCGUCCGCGAAAAUUAAGCAUUGAAUUACUGUACAAAUCUCGGGUUGUUAGGUGUUAGAAUCCCUAGUUACCCGAAAAAUUUGAUUGGAUCCGAUACUUAGAAAUAACCAAUCAGAUACUUUGUAACAAAUGCAACACAAUCAGUGCGUUCAGUAAGUAUAACGUUUCAAGAUGGCGGAGCGAAUUGCAUGGUUAUUGUUACAAUUACGAUGGAUUCGCAGAUAAUUCGGAAAUAGAUCAGAUUGGGAUCAAUAACUGUAUUGCAUACGAUCAUUUACAUGUAUUACCAGGUGUGUGUUGCCAGUAAUGGUUGAAGAUAUGCCAAACAAAUUGUGCCUCUCUAUACAGACAGAUUUCAGGUCUCAAUUUCGACUUCAAAGGUCAACAUAUCACUGAUAUCAGGAAUUCUGUACAACUGUGGAACCAUGUAUGGUACGUGACCGCACAAUGUUGGUUGGCAAAAGGAUAUUGGAAUAAGCAAAGGUAAAUUGUAUGUGAAGGAGUCUUGACAAUUGCAAAUAUAGUUAGUUUUUUUGUAAGGCUCGCAGAAAGUGACCCUAGCCUUCAUAUAUAAAUAAAAAGCUGAAAGAGUAUUUAUGAAAAAUCGUGUAAUCAAGUUUGCAAUAUGUUACAUUUUAUUUAUAAGCUCAUCUUUUUUUUUUUGAAAAAAAAAGAGAUAUUGUCAUCAUCUUGGCGUCUGCGUCUGCGUCGGUGUCGGCGUCCGAUUAAGUUUUGUGUUUAGGUCCACUUUUCUCAUAAAGUAUCAAGUAUAAAACUUAUUUACUUACUACCAUGAGGGGACUGGGCAGGCAAAGUUAGAUAACUCUGGCGUGCAUUUUGACAGAAUUAUGUGCCCUUCUUAUACUUAGAAAAUUGAAAAUUUGGUUAAGUUUUGUGUUUAGGUCCACUUUAUUCCUACAGUAUCAAAGCUAUUGCUUUCAUACUUGCAACACUUACUAUCAUAAAGGGACUGUGCAGACAAAGUUAUGUAACUCUGACUGGCAUUUUGAAAGUAUUAUGUGCCCUUUUUAUUCUUAGAAAAUUGAAAAUUUUGUUAAGUUUUGUGUUUUGGUCCACUUUACUCCUAAAGUAUCAUAGAUAUUGCUUUCAUACUGGGAACACUCGCAAAUUAUCAUAAGGGGACAGUACAGGACAAGUUGAAUAACUCUGGUUGUCAUUUUGACAGAAUUAUGGUCCUUUUCUUACUUAGUAACUUUGAAUAUAUGGUUAAAUUUUGUGUUUUGAUCUACUUUACUUCUCAAGU